rnacentral:rRNA from 1 species
UACGUAGGGUGCGAGCGUUAAUCGGAAUUACUGGGCGUAAAGUGUGCGCAGGCGGCAGAGCAAGUCGAGUGUGAAAGCCCCGGGCUUAACUUGGGAAUUGCGCUCGAAACUACUUUGCUGGAGUGUGGCAGAGGAAGGUGGAAUUCCACGUGUAGCGGUGAAAUGCGUAGAGAUGUGGAGGAACACCAAUGGCGAAGGCAGCCUUCUGGGCCAACACUGACGCUCAUGCACGAAAGCCAGGGGAGCAAACGGG